rnacentral:rRNA from 1 species
UACGAGGGGGGCGAGCGUUGUUCGGAAUUACUGGGUGUAAAGGGUUCGUAGGCGGUGGGGCAAGUUGGGAGUGAAAUCUCUGGGCUUAACCCAGAGGCUGCUUCCAAAACUGCUCUGCUUGAGUGUGAGAGAGGCGCGUGGAAUUGCAGGUGUAGCGGUGAAAUGCGUAGAUAUCUGCAGGAACACCCGUGGCGAAAGCGGCGCGCUGGAUCACUACUGACGCUGAGGAACGAAAGCCAGGGGAGCAAACGGG